UACGUAGGGUGCAAGCGUUAAUCGGAAUUACUGGGCGUAAAGCGUGCGCAGGCGGUUUUGUAAGUCUGUCGUGAAAUCCCCGGGCUCAACCUGGGAAUGCGAUGGAGACUGCAAGGCUAGAAUCUGGCAGAGGGGGUAGAAUUCCACGUGUAGCAGUGAAAUGCGUAGAGAUGUGGAGGAACACCGAUGGCGAAGGCAGCCCCCUGGGU
rnacentral:rRNA from 1 species